UUGUUAACACAUAUACUAAAAUUGGAAUGACACAGAGAAGAUAGCAUGGUCCCUGUGCAAGGAUGACACNCAAAUUCAUGAAGCAUUCCAUAUUUUU
rnacentral:snRNA from 1 species